UACGUAGGGUGCGAGCGUUGCCCGGAUUUAUUGGGCGUAAAGAGCUCGUAGGCGGCUUGUUGCGUCGACUGUGAAAACCCGCGGCUUAACCGCGGGCUUGCAGUUGAUACGGGCAGGCUAGAGUUCGGUAGGGGAGACUGGAAUUCCUGGUGUAGCGGUGAAAUGCGUAGAGAUCGGGAAGAACAUCGGUGGCGAAGGCGCUCUACUGGACCACAACUGACACUCAGGGACGAAAGCUAGGGGAGCGAAUGGG
rnacentral:rRNA from 1 species